ACCCACUUUAAGAUACCUUAAUCUAAUUGCCUUCCAAGCAAUUAGAUUAAGGUAUCUUAAAGUGGGUA
rnacentral:tRNA from 1 species